GAUGAACGCUGGCGGCGUGCCUAAUACAUGCAAGUCGAGCGAACAGAUAAGGAGCUUGCUCCUUUGACGUUAGCGGCGGACGGGUGAGUAACACGUGGGUAACCUACCUAUAAGACUGGGAUAACUUCGGGAAACCGGAGCUAAUACCGAAUAACAUUUGGAACCGCAUGGUUCUAAAGUGAAAGAUGGUUUUGCUAUCACUUAUAGAUGGACCCGCGCCGUAUUAGCUAGUUGGUAAGGUAACGGCUUACCAAGGCGACGAUACGUAGCCGACCUGAGAGGGUGAUCGGCCACACUGGAACUGAGACACGGUCCAGACUCCUACGGGAGGCAGCAGUAGGGAAUCUUCCGCAAUGGGCGAAAGCCUGACGGAGCAACGCCGCGUGAGUGAUGAAGGGUUUCGGCUCGUAAAACUCUGUUAUUAGGGAAGAACAAAUGUGUAAGUAACUGUGCACGUCUUGACGGUACCUAAUCAGAAAGCCACGGCUAACUACGUG
rnacentral:rRNA from 1 species